rnacentral:rRNA from 1 species
GAUGAACGCUAGCUACAGGCUUAACACAUGCAAGUCGAGGGGCAGCAUGAACUUAGCUUGCUAAGUUUGAUGGCGACCGGCGCACGGGUGAGUAACACGUAUCCAACCUUCCGUUUACUCAGGGAUAGCCUUUCGAAAGAAAGAUUAAUACCUGAUAGUAUGGUGAGAUUGCAUGAUAACACCAUUAAAGAUUUAUUGGUAAACGAUGGGGAUGCGUUCCAUUAGGUAGUAGGCGGGGUAACGGCCCACCUAGCCGACGAUAGGUAGGGGUUCUGAGAGGAAGGUCCCCCACAUUGGAACUGAGACACGGUCCAAACUCCUACGGGAGGCAGCAGUGAGGAAUAUUGGUCAAUGGACGUAAGUCUGAACCAGCCAAGUCGCGUGAGGGAAGACUGCCCUAUGGGUUGUAAACCUCUUUUUAAUAAAGGGGAAGAAUAAGUUCUACGUGUAGAAUGAUGCCUGUACCUUAUGAAUAAGCAUCGGCUAACUCCGUG